rnacentral:tRNA from 1 species
AGUUAAUAAGUUUUAUAAAAACGUAUAUUUUGAAAAUAUGAAAAAGAGAUCCCCUCUAUUAACUU